GUCGAGCAAGGAUGAAAAUCGGACUUAGUGAUCCGGUGGUUCUGCGUGGAAGGGCCAUCGCUCAACGGAUAAAAGCUACCCUGGGGAUAACAGGCUUAUCUCCCCCAAGAGUCCACAUCGACGGGGAGGUUUGGCACCUCGAUGUCGGCUCAUCACAUCCUGGGGCUGUAGUAGGUCCCAAGGGUUGGGCUGUUCGCCCAUUAAAGUGGUACGCGAGCUGGGUGCAGAACGUCGUGAGACAGUUCGGUCCCUAUCCGUCGCAGGCGUAGGAAAUUUGAGAAGACCUGUCCUUAGUACGAGAGGACCGGGAUGGACGUACCUCUGGUGUACCAGUUGUCCUGCCAAGGGCAUGGCUGGGUAGCUAUGU
rnacentral:rRNA from 1 species